GACUACAUGAAGCUGGAAUCGCUAGUAAUCGCAGGUCAGCAUACUGCGGUGAAUACGUUCCCGGGUCUUGUACACACCGCCCGUCACACCAUGGGAGCCGGAAAUGCCCGAAGCCAGUGACCCAACCUUAGGGAGGGAGCUGUCGAAGGUGGAGCCGGUAACUGGGGUGGAAGUCGUAACAAGGUAUC
rnacentral:rRNA from 1 species